AAAAACUUAAGAGAAGCCAGCACAAUCUGCACAAAGGGAAAAAUUAAGAAACCUCCUAUUUCUCUCUCUCGAUCUUGUGGAAACCCUAGGCAGUCCGAAACCCUUUGGCUCCACUUUGCCCCUUCGCCGAUGGUGCUCGCGGCAGAGGAGUUCUUCCAUGAGGAGGUUGAGCACCCUAUGUUCUAUAUGUUGCUCUGUUGCGUGUACUCCUCCUCCACUCCCUGUGUCAGCCCUAGCUCGAUCGAAGAGUGAUUUGGUGCUCUAUCUCGUUAAAGACAUUAUUUUAUUAAAGCACUUAACAAGACUGAAGUAAGGAGCAAGCACUGAGAAGAGGAAAAACACGCCAAUGAUGGAGGCUCAUUGCCUCGCUCAGCCUUAGAUCUACGACUUCAACCCCUUCGUCUCUUCAAUUCGAGGAGCCCCACAGUUGCCAUUAAGAAGUUGAAAUGAAAGUAUUACUCAUGGGAGAAGUGUUUGAAUCUCCAAGAAGUGAAGGUAGUUUGGAAUAUUAUAUUUAAGCAAAAAAAAAAACAUUUCCCUCUUCAUUAUUCUCAUCAAGAUGCAAAUUUUCUAGUCUUUACGAAGAUUAAACCAUCCCAACAUUGUCAAGUUCAAAGAGGUUAUUAGAGAGACUGAUAUGUUAUACUUAGUUUUUUAGUACAUGGUUGUUAUUUGAUGGUAUCAUCAAGUUUCAACUCCAUUGACAAUACAAAAUUUGAACAUGUACCCUGUAGAGAUUGCGGACGAAGAACAUUGAUAUGCGUUUCUAGAUCGAGCAAAAAUCUUGGGAGGAGGUAUUAUGGAUGUGCGUAACAUGGCUGGCAAAAGUGGGUGGUAGCUGAUACUUUAUCUAAUGAAGACAGAAGUGAAAUAUGUCGUGGAAGGUUAGGAAGAAUAGAGCCAAGGUUAGGCAGUAAAUACAUUGCUUCUCGAGGGCAUAAUCUAGGAAAUUGGAAUGCACCAUCAGUGGUCUGGAUAUUAGUUAUAGUGAAUUUAUUUUUUUUGGCUGUAUAUCUUAUUACUUUGUUAGUUCGGUCUUGCCAAUUAGUGUUGAGUAGUGUUGUUGUUGUAAUAUGACAGAUUAAAUAUUUGUAAUAAUCAUCUUAAGGCUAAUUGGUUUAUUAAUUUAGGUGGUUAAUUAGUGUUGACUAAUGUUGGUACUGUAAUGUGAUAGGAUAAUUUGUUUUUAGUUAAGAUGGAUAAUGCAGAACAUGUUAUAUAA